GACAGGAUGGAGUUUGUUAAAGUUGUUAAAAAUAAGGCCUACUUUAAGAGAUACCAAGUGAAGUUCAGAAGACGACGAGAGGGUAAAACUGAUUACUAUGCUCGGAAACGCUUGGUGAUACAGGAUAAAAAUAAGUACAACACACCCAAAUACAGAAUGAUAGUUCGUAUAACUAACAGAGAUAUCAUUUGUCAGAUUGCUUAUGGCUAUAUAGAAGGGGAUAUGAUAGUCUGCGCAGCUUAUGCACAUGAACUACCAAAAUAUGGUGUGAAGGUUGGCCUGACAAAUUAUGCUGCAGCAUAUUUAUGGCCUGACAAAUUAUGCUGGCCCGCAGGCUUCUCAAUAGGUUUGGCAUGGACAAGAUCUAUGAAGGCCAAGUGGAAGUAACAGGAGACAAAUACAAUGUGGAAAGCAUUGACGGCCAGCCUGGUGCUUGUAUGUGAAGUUUUUGGGGCCCUGAAGGGAGCUGUGGAUGGAGGCUUGUCCAUCCCUCACAGUACCAAACGAUUCCCUGGUUAUGAUUCUGAAAGCAAGGAAUUUAAUGCUGAAGUACAUCGGAAGCACAUCAUAGGUCAGAAUGUUGCAGAUUAUAUGCGUUAUCUAAUGGAAGAAGGUGAAGACGCUUACAAGAAACAGUUCUCUCAAUACAUAAAGAACAACGUUACUCCAGACAUGGCGGAGAUGUAUAAGAAAGCCCAUGCUGCUAUACGAGAUAAUCCAGUCUAUGAGAAGAAGCCUAAGAAAGAAGUUAAGAAGAAGAGAUGGAACCGUCCCAAAAUGUCCCUUGCCCAGAAGAAAGAUCAGGUAUCUCAAAAGAAGGCAAGCUUCCUUAGAGCUCAGGAACAGGCUGCUGAAAGCUAAACCAAACAGCAGUUU